rnacentral:rRNA from 1 species
GAUGAACGCUGGCGGCGUGCUUAACACAUGCAAGUCGAACGAAGCACUUUAUUUGAUUUCUUCGGAAUGAAGAUUUUGUGACUGAGUGGCGGACGGGUGAGUAACGCGUGGGUAACCUGCCUCAUACAGGGGGAUAACAGUUGGAAACGACUGCUAAUACCGCAUAAGCGCACAGGGUCGCAUGACCUGGUGUGAAAAACUCCGGUGGUAUGAGAUGGACCCGCGUCUGAUUAGCCAGUUGGUGGGGUAACGGCCUACCAAAGCGACGAUCAGUAGCCGACCUGAGAGGGUGACCGGCCACAUUGGGACUGAGACACGGCCCAAACUCCUACGGGAGGCAGCAGUGGGGAAUAUUGCACAAUGGGGGAAACCCUGAUGCAGCGACGCCGCGUGAGCGAAGAAGUAUUUCGGUAUGUAAAGCUCUAUCAGCAGGGAAGAAGAAAUGACGGUACCUGACUAAGAAGCACCGGCUAAAUACGUGCCAGCAGCCGCGGUAAUACGUAUGGUGCAAGCGUUAUCCGGAUUUACUGGGUGUAAAGGGAGCGCAGGCGGUACGGCAAGUCUGAUGUGAAAGCCCGGGGCUCAACCCCGGUACUGCAUUGGAAACUGUCGGACUAGAGUGUCGGAGGGGUAAGUGGAAUUCCUAGUGUAGCGGUGAAAUGCGUAGAUAUUAGGAGGAACACCAGUGGCGAAGGCGGCUUACUGGACGAUUACUGACGCUGAGGCUCGAAAGCGUGGGGAGCAAACAGGAUUAGAUACCCUGGUAGUCCACGCCGUAAACGAUG